rnacentral:rRNA from 1 species
UACAGAGGGUGCAAGCGUUAAUCGGAAUUACUGGGCGUAAAGCGUGCGUAGACGGUUAUGUAAGUUGGGUGUGAAAGCCCCGGGCUCAACCUGGGAAUUGCAUUCGAGACUGCAUAGCUAGGGUGCGGAAGAGGGAAGCGGAAUUUCCGGUGUAGCGGUGAAAUGCGUAGAUAUCGGAAGGAACACCAGUGGCGAAAGCGGCUUCCUGGUCCAGCACCGACGUUCAGGCACGAAAGCGUGGGGAGCAAACAGG